GUCUGUGCCUGGGUUGAGAAGGCUGCAUAAAAGUCUCUUCCUGCUGGAAGCCUGCAAUACCUUCUUUUAUACUUUGAAUAAAAGAAGGAAUGCCCUGGCUGGGAGGAGGUGAGGAUAUGAACCAUUCCAUUCUUUACAUCUGAAGGAAAUGGGUCGAAGUCCAACAUGUUACAAAUGCUUUGCUAAUUAGUUAGCAUGAUAAGGAGAACCCUGGUUGUCAUGGAAAUGAAUUACAUCACACAUUCGGCAUGGCUCCUUCACUGCAGAAUAAAGCUGAAAGUGAUGAGCUGGAAGGGAGUAAACCCUGAUGAUAGACGAACAUGUUUGAUAAUUAACAAAUGAAAUAGAAAAUAUGAUGGUGAUAUUACUGUAGCUCUGCUAUUCUACAGUCUGCUUUUCAAAACCAUUGCACAUGUAUUCAUCCAAGAGAUGCAAAGCAGGAAUAUCAUAGAAAGCAUCACCUGCCUGAAAGAUGUGCUAUCUUCACUGACUUCCCAAGUGACCAUCUCAAAUAGGCAGGGAAAGGUAAUGUAACUCACAUUAGGAUUCACUCAGUGGGAUGAAAAUAAUAUGAGCCUUGCUAUCUUGUACAUGCCAGCAUAUUUCUUCACAGAUUUCUGUUGCUCCAGUCAAGCAUAUAAUAAGCAGUGUUCUAGCAAGCUGACACCUACUUCUUCAGGUGAUGAUUUUGACAAGUUAUUUUCCUGUUG